rnacentral:ribozyme from 14 species
GCAGAAAGAAAGAAAGAAAGAGAGACAGAGAAAGAGAGAGAGACAGCAUUGUCUUUCUUUCCACAUCAUCACAUCAACCUGAUCUCUAACUUUCAUUUUUUCUUUUU